rnacentral:rRNA from 1 species
AACGAACGCUGGCGGCAUGCCUAACACAUGCAAGUCGAACGAGACCUUCGGGUCUAGUGGCGCACGGGUGCGUAACGCGUGGGAACCUGCCCUUAGGUUCGGAAUAACUCCCCGAAAGGGGUGCUAAUACCGGUUAAUGUCUUCGGACCAAAGAGUUAUCGCCUUUGGAUGGGCCCGCGUUGGAUUAGCUAGUUGGUAGGGUAAAAGCCUGCCAAGGCGACGAUCCAUAGCUGGUCUGAGAGGAUGAUCAGCCACACUGGGACUGAGACACGGCCCAGACUCCGACGGGGGGCAGCAGUGGGGAAUAUUGGACGAUGGGCGAAAGCCUGAUCCAGCAAUGCCGCGUGAGUGAUGAAGGCCUUAGGGUUGUAAAGCUCUUUUACCCGGGAUGAUAAUGACAGUACCGGGAGAAUAAGCUCCGGCUAACUCCGUG